rnacentral:lncRNA from 1 species
AUGGCUCGUAAGAGGUGUCACGAAGUAUGUGAUUUUACCGACAGUGACUCUGAAUAAGAUGUUGAGACUCAUUCUGCUGAGGAAUAUUCAAUUCCAAAUGUUUAUCAUAUCAUCUUGAUUUGUUCUCUUGAUCCUAGUUCAUCAUAUCAUCUUCACUUGACAAGCUAUGCAUGGUGAUCUUCGAUUCCAAAUGUUUGUCAUGGUUAGUUCUAAUAAUAAAAUUUAUUUCUAGUAUAUUUUUUCUAUAGUAUCAAAUUUUCUUACCUCAGCUCCUUUAUGUUUCUCAUUCACUGGAAUCUGUUCAUAUUCUUCUAGCAUUGCAUGAUGGAGUUUGAUUUCAUGCAAUAUAGAAGAAGAAAAAUAACUAUGGUAUGUAUUGCCCUCUAUUUUUAAAUAAUGUCAUAUUUAUCUAAGUUCAUAUAUAUUCGUACCUCAAAUCCAUACCUUUUAGUAAGUAUGUCCAUGUAAGUUGCUGGUUCAUUAUGUAAAAUUUUAAGAACUUCUUUGUUUAAAUUAUCAUGAAACCAUUUGUAUACUAUUAUGUUACCAUGACUUAUAAAGUUUACCAUUUCAAAAUUAGCUUCAGGUACAUCCAAACAUGUCUCCUUCUCCUGUGAAUUUGUUAUCUGUUCCAUUAACAACCCAGUGUCUGUACCCUGCAAGUUCAAUGCAAUUCAAUCAGUAUUUAGAAUCAUCAUGUUUUCCAUUUAUUCUCAGUCACGAAUAUAUACCUGUUGACUGUUAAAUAAUGUGUUUAGAUAGUCAUGUGGACUAUGUGUUUCAACAUGCCCAUGAAUUUCUAAGUUCACCCCCUGUGUAUUGAAAUGCAUCAUUUUAAAAAUUUAUUAUGAAUUAGUUUAAAACAUUUGAUUUGGAAAUGUGUACAUUUUAAACAUUUACUUGGAUGAAUCUUAUAUACAAGCAUCUACCUGUACUGUCUGAUACAUGCCUGACUUUCCUUUGUUUUGUAAUUCAAAUUCAUCCUUCUAUUUGAUUCCAACAAGCUACUGCUUUGUCUGUAUUGUUCCUGAAAUAUUUUGCAAUACAUCUAACUGACAGUUCAUAUGUACUCGAUAUUAAUAAGCAAUACUACUAGCAUUCGAGAUCUAUGCAUAUGUGAAUAACUAUUUUUCAUACAAGAGUUUAAUAUCAUAUCUAGUCAACCUUUGCAUCUAUACCUUUUUCUGUUUUCGGAUCAUGCCAAGCUCUAUAUUCCCCUAAUGAAUAUAUUAUUUUCUAAAUCCCUAUGAAGCUAAUCAUAGUGUCAUUUUAAUGCAGUUGACCCCAAGCUAACUAUUUUUGACAUUCUUUAAUUCUAUAAUAUGAGCAUGAGAUAUGUUGUCAGAUAUAAUUUGUGUUCUAUACUAUUUACAGUUCUAACAUUAGUCAUUUACAGUAGUUUAGAAACUGUAAAUAUAUCAUUUAGUCCUGUAAAUAAAGAUAUUUUAGUUGGGUUUGCUAACUCAAUGUUGGAAAAUAAUUCUGGUCUGCUUGGGGUUGCUACAUCAAUGUAAGUAAAUACUAUUGAUAUUGGACUAAGGUUUUCAUCUGAGGGGUUUCCACUUUAUUAAAAUAAUUUAUUAUUUGACUGACCAUAGAAAAAAUCUGUUAAGCUGUUUAAUUUAGAUUUUCAUCAUAUUUUAGAUCUGGAUUUUUGAAUAAGGUUAGAGUUUUUACUCAAACAAAGUAGUAUCUAUUUUUCCUCUUCACUAUUUUUUGGUUAUGUUUUGCACUUUCAAUUUGGAUGUGUUCCAAUUAUUGAUAAGUACAGGUAAAUUUCAAUGUAGCUUUCAUUAUCAGAUAAAAUAUCCUAUGCUAUUUAUAAUGUUAACUUUAUUCAUUUACAGUGCUUUAGAAACUUUAAAUUGUAUUUUUAAGUCCUAUAAAUAAGAUGAUAUUUUUAAAGAUUAAAGAUAAUUUGAUUGCAUUUGCUCACUUAAUGUAAAAAAUAAUCUGGAGGGUUUGCUAUCUCGAUGUAGGAAAGGUUGGGUUUUGCAUUUUAGUGGGCCACUGGAGCCUAAAAUUUGUUAAUCUGGUGGUUAGCUUGACCCACUUCCAAAAAUUAUUUGUUAUUUGACUGACUAUAGAAAAAAUAUGUUAAGCUGUUUGACUUUUGGGUUUCACCAUUAAUGUAAUCAUGUUUUUUGCGUCAUACUUAGCUUUUAGGUUAGAUUCUUGUUUGUUGCUCUGUUAUUUAAGCUGGUUUUUCUUUACUGUUUUGUUUGAAGCAUUGUUUAUACUAGGAUGUGGAUACAUAUCAUUUCAUUCAUACUUGUCCUAAUUAAGCUUUCUAUCCCUUUUCUAGGUCUAUGGCACAAGUGUUUUUCUUAAUUUUGAGUUUGGAUUAGAGGUAUUACUCAGUGUAGGAUAAUUAAAUUUGUAAAUGACCUGUUGUUUCUAAAUUAGAUACUAAAUUUGUGUGCUUAAGCAUUUAUAGUUUUUAGAUCACUAAGUGACUGUGAUGGCGUUACUGUUAAUUCCAUUAUUAUGCCUGUAAUUGAAAUUUGUGGGUUUUAUGUUAUUUCUGUAGGCUAGGUUUUCAUCAGAGGGGGUUUCCACUUUUCUAAAAUUAUUUGUUAUUUGAUUGACCAUUUAAAAAUCUGGUAAGCUGUUUAAUUUGGGUUUUUCUAUCAAACUAAUAUUGCUAUUUGCAUCAUAUUUUCAGCUUAUAUCUGAAAUUUCUAUUCUGUUCAUUAGGGAUAGCUUCAUAUGUAGGUUUGACUGGUUUUAUUUUCAAUUUGCUAGAUACUUGUGGUAAUCCAGAUCCUAAUUCUUUUUCUGUUUGCAUUGCAACAACAUCGUCUUGGUGAAAACGCUUUUGCAGGAAAGAUGUUCCGAUCACUCGUGACAACAUGACCUAUCUAGGUAUAAAAGAUGGUCCUCAAGACUGCCUUGUUCUAGCUUGGUCUGCUACU